GAGUGGCGUGGAAACCCAGCGAGGAGGGGGAAGAUUCGGCAAGUCUCGCGAGAGCUCCAAACGGCUGCCGCGGUCAGUCCAAGCAGGAGAAUACAGCUUCCAUAUUAUUCUACCAGACUAUGUCUACAUUAUUCUGAGCAAUUUCUGGUGCCCAACUUCCUUGAAGUCUUAACUCAUGAAGGUGUUCUAAUUACUGCAUCAUGCCAUGACACAUUUUCAAAACAAGUUGAGCAAGACAAAAUAUGCAACGCAGAAGCACAUAGGUGGAGUUUGCCUCUUGCUUUUUUGGUGUCAGUAUGUCAUCCUCCACAGCUUCCUCGUGUAUUAGAUUCUGUUUCCCUAUUUU